GGGAUGAAUUAUGAAUGUACUUCAGUAGAAACCUGAUGAGCUGCAUUAGUCUGCAGUUAUCAGAAACAUGAGUCAGGCAUUGCUUUGUUUGUCAUGUGCACAAAGUCCAGGAAUCUCAGGUUUCAUAUCCAGGCAGAGUUAUAACAAGCAUAUUGGGAGCCACAGACCAAAGCCAGAGAUGUAGACCGGAUUCUUUCAAAGACAGACACUGAGAACUGAGAAGCCCUGGCCCUUGGAGGUCAGCUGUGACCAGAAGUGCUAUGGAAUUUGAAGAGGCACAAAUGGAAGGUGAAAGGAUGAACCGUGCCAAGAGGAAGGCGUGUCAAACCAACCCUGACCGGGACCACCUUCCCACCUGGAAACCAAUGUCCUCACUGCGGAAGAACAUGCGGGUCAAGUAUAGGUCUUCACAGCCACCUAUGCAUCCACCAACAAGACACUACACUUGGAGGGUCAUCAUCUUUGGGCUACGAGGGAUCGUCUAAGUUUUCUGCACCCUUCCACCUGUGGAUGUGGAGGGCCAACUGGAUUAUCAUGGAGCUAGCUAAGAUGACUUCUACCAGUAAACACACCUGUUGUUUCCAGGAUACAGAUUCAACAGAGAUCAAGUAUAGUAAAGAGGAAUAUUUGCACCAAAACAAAAUGCUCUUAAUGUUUAAUUGAUGUAAUAUUGCUAAAAUAUUCUGGCACUCAGGCUAUAAUUCCUAAAUAAUAAUAAUAAAGACUCAGUAGAACUUGGUGAGAAUCA